CACAAAACUGGAAAAUUGCAAUAUCAAUAAAGAUUGUGGCAGAGCCACGGAUACAGAGACAUUUGGAAAAACAGAAAAGUGGGGUGAAAUGAAAUUUUGGGAGGGGGGAUUAAUUUGCUCACAGAGCAUACUAAAUACCUAAAUAUUGCACACAGUUAUUGAAACAUCCAAAAUAGAAAAUUAUCCUUUUGUGUAGUAAAUCAAACAGAUUCAAUAUGACUGCUGAGAUUCUCUUUCCUUCAACCUUUUCACUUGGCAAGCUCAUUGCGGAUUUGUUUGGCUGCAGCAACCAUGUUGAGGAGGGCAGGCUUAACCUCUGUGUACUUACGGGUUUUUAGCCCACAGUCAGGGUUGACCCACAAAACGUUCUUCUCAAGGACAGCAAGCAUCUUGUUGAUCCUGUCGGCGAUCUCGUCGGUUGGUGGGAUUCUUGGGGAGUGGAUGUCAUACACACCAGGGCCAAUUCCAGCACCAUAAACAACUCCUUCACGGAAGACUGAUAGAAGCUUUUCGUCGGAACGGGAGUUCUCAAUUGUGAUAACAUCAGCAUCCAUAUUAAUGAUGGAAUGAAUGAUGUCGUUGAAGUUGGAGUAGCACAUGUGAGUGUGGAUCUGUCAAUUUGAAAUUUUAUUAUAACAUGUAGGCAAAUAGAGAAGGUGAAAAAUUGUAACACAGUCACUUGUGAGCCAAACAUACCUGAGUGGAGUCCUGAACACCGACAUUGGUGAUUCUGAAGGAGUGGACAGCCCAGUCCAAGUAGUGAGCGUGCUCAGACUUCCUCAGUGGUAGUCCCUCUCUCAAAGCAGCCUCAUCAAUUUGGAUGACACCAAUACCACCUUUCUCAAGGUCUUCAACUUCAUCCUUAAUAGCCAAAGCAAUCUGGUAGCAGGUCUCAGAUCUGCAAAUAGAUUCACAUACACAGUUAGAAAUGCCAAAUAUAUGAUAUGAAUGCUGAUCAUCUCUUUAUUUAGCUCUGUAUGUUGAACUUUUCCUGUGAUGUUAUAAGGGGGGUCGAGUUUAUACCUAGGCUGGUCAACUCUAACGAAGGACCAGUUGAGAAUGGUGACAGGGCCAGUAAGCAUUCCCUUCAUUGGGCGCUUGGUAAAGCUCUGAGCAAGAGCUGACCAGAAGACAGUCAUUGCCUUUGGGCGGCUCACAUCACCAUAGAUGAUUGGUGGCUUGACACAACGAGAUCCAUAGGAUUGCACCCAUCCAUUAGCAGUAAAGGCGAAGCCUGACAACUGCUCGCCGAAGUACUCAACCAUAUCAUUUCUCUGCAGAAAGAAAAAAAAAAAAAAAAAAAAAAAGAGGAUCCACAAUUAGUUGGAAGUACAAUUGGGAAUCGGCAAUCUAACACCAAGGGCAUAAAAUAUGGGAAGAGCAGUUUCUCUUCAAAACAGAAGAGGCGGAGAAAAUAUUAAUAAAAUUAAAUAAAUCCGGGUGUAAUAAAGCUAUCUUUGCUCAAAUUGACUAAAAGAAGGUCAUAAGAGAUGAUUAAAGCUGACCUCGGGCUCUCCGUGUACUAGGACAUCAAUAUCAAGCUCUUCUUGAAGCUCAACAACUGAGCGGAUUUCCUCCUUAAUUGCCUUAAUGUACUCUUCCUCGGAGAUCCUGAAUAAAACAAGAGUCAAUAAAGGAAGACACAAUGUCAAAUAAACAAGGCAGAGAUCAACAAUCGUAGCAUUAUCUUACUUCUUAGCCUUGAAUUCACGGCGAACCCUCCUUAGUUCCACGGUCUGGGGGAAUGAUCCAAUGGUGGUGGUUGGGAGGAUUGGAAGAUUAAGCUUCUUUUGUUGAGCAUCCAACCUGGCACUGACGUUGGUAGCACGGCGAUGGUCUGAACCCUUCAAUGCAGCAGCCUGAAAGAUGAAUAGAAAGGGUAUAAUUAAUAUCUCCGCAGAUCCAAAUAAACAAAACGAGUGUUAGAACAGAGGGAAUAAAAAAUAAGCACUCACAGCCUUCUGAACAGCCUCAUUAGUCACUCUUGGAGAGGACUUCCUUGAAGCCUGAGCUGCAGAACUUGCAGAGAAGAUGGCCUGAAAAUGAAACCAUAAAAACAUUAACUGAGUGAUUAUGUGGUGAAAUAAACAGAAAUUUGCAUUUCUUUAGAACCUUUAAUCAUAAAGGUUAAAAAGUCACAAAAAAUAAAAUAUAUAUAUUGACACUUCCAUAUACUGUUUACCACUGCUAACAAUUGUCUGAUGUUUCUAUUGAAACUUGUUAAUACUAUUAUAGGCAACCAAUACUUGAAUUUACUUAAUUCUGAUUCUAGCAAUUAUAGUGCAAUUAUAUUUUUUUUAUUAAAUAGAAUACCACAAUGUCUGCAGAUUCUAGCAAUUAUAGUGCAAUUAUAUUUUUUUUAUUAAAUAGAAUACCACAAUGUCUGCAGGUAAGAAACACAAUCAAAUUAUGUUGACUAAAUACGUUGUCAGAUGUGAGAUGAAAUAAAAGAAAUGGGCAUUACCUCAUCCUUGUUGCCUGCAAGUGCAUUGGCCAAUGCAUUUACUUCAACAACUUUUUGGGCAGCAAAAGCUAACCAUGACUUAAUUUCAUCAUCCAACUUGGUCUCGUUAACGAGAUCCACAGCAGUGUGAAGAAGUGAGCAAGAAGUGGACACAACAAUUCUCUCUGCAUAUAGUUUGAAAAUCAGAUGCAUCAAGUGACAACGAUUACUUCAAAGACUCUUAGAUAUUCCUAUGUAAUGAAUGUUUAAUAAAUACCUUUGCCCACAAUGCCGGCAAGAGCCUCUAAUGUACUGAGAGAAGCCUCAAGAUCAUUUGCCCAGAUGUUCCUUCCAUCAACGACUCCAGCAAAGAUCCAUUUUCCACUGGGAAAACCAGCCUUGAUCAGAUCAAGAGUCUUGGUUCCACGGACUAAAUCAAAUCCAUAAGCGGCGACACCACUCAAAGAUGUGAGGGUCUUGUAUGCCUCAGCGGGAAUAUCAGCAAAGUAGGUCUCAACAAGAACAUGGAGACCUUCAAAAGAAGGUGUAAGUGCUGCAUAUGCAUCAGUAAAUGCUUGUAACUUGUGAGCUUCAAGAUCCAGGACAAGUGUGGGUUCAUCAAAUUGAAUAAACUGAGCACCAGCUGCCUUGAGAUCAGCAAUAACCUCCCUGCAUUAGUAGUUAAAAGCAAGUUAGAAAAAUAAAAUGACAUUAAUACAUGCUGAGAAAACAAUAAUCCCCCAAAACAAUUUAAACUUCUUACUUGUAGACGGCAAGGACCUUGGGAAGCAAAGAUAGGAGAUCAAAGGAUUUGUCAACUCCCUUGGCGGCUUUGGAGAGCAACAAGUAUGAAACAGGGCCAACAAGAACGGGAACAGUGUCUACUCCAAGCUGUAAGACAAAUCAAAAUAUUCAACAACAAUAUCUACAACACAUAAAAAUGCUAAAAAAAAUUACUUCUGCUAUAAUAGACCACACAGGUGAACAUAACAAGAACCAUACAAAAAAGGACAAACUAACAAUCAUUUCUUAUUUAGCAACCCAUCACCCAAAGAUCUUUCAACUCACCCAAAAACAACAACAAAAACCAAGCCUUAUUCCACUAAGUGAAGCUAGCUACAUGGAUCAAAUUACAUCAUAAUGUUCAAACUCGAUCCCAGAUCUAAUUAAAAAUGUCACACCCUCCUAAUUAAAAACUCGAACCUAGAUCUAGUUAAAAAUAUCACACACUUCUAAUUAAAAACUCGAACCCAACAAUACUUCCCAAUGACAUUAAACAUUAAGCCAGGCUAACAAAGCUAACAUUUUUUCCUGCAUAAGCAAAAACAAAAAGGAAAAAAACACAUACAGCCUUGGCUUCCUUGUAUUCUUCAACAGCCUUGUGAGAAGAGUACACAAAGUUCACCUCAGGACCCAAUUCUGGGACAAUAAAGUGGCUGCAUCAACACAAACAAAACAAACAGUUCAGUUACCAGAUCAAUACAACCCAGAGUCACAAACUCAUCAAACAAUACAAGAGACCAUUGCAUCGCAGUCACUUACUAGUUGGUGUCGAACCACUUGGUCAUCUCCAUAGCAGGGACGGUGGCAUUACCUCUAGCCAUUGAAAAGUAAGUAUCGAAUCCAAUCUCACCACCAGUCCAUCCAUACCUGGGUGGAACGGCCCCGAGAGUGGCGGUAGUAUCAAGUACAUGAUCAUAGUAAGUAAAAGUGUUGCUUGGGAUAUACUUGAUCCCAACAUCAGACAUCUGUUUCCAGAUGGAUGCUCUUAGAUCAGCAGAAACCUUCUUCAAAUCCUCGGCACUGCUCUUUUUGUCCCAGAAUGAUUCCAAAGCAAAUUUCAACUCUCUCUUGGGUCCCAUACGAGGGUAUCCAACAAUGUGAGAAGCCAUUUUUUCUGUAUAAAUCAAAUCAAAUCAAAUCAAAAUUCCAACAACAAUAACAACAAAAUCAUAAUACUGAUAUCAUUUUUAUUUUUUUGUUGAAAACUCGGUAUCAGACCUAAGGACCGACUAAUCUAGUGGAUCGCAAACAAAUCCCACUGAUAAAACUGAUAAUAUUCUUAUGUUAAAAUUAUUACAAGAUGCACAUUUCAAGCUAGUUAACUCUUAAAAUACUAAUUGUAGUGAAAUAGAGGAUUACGGAUAAGCAACUAGGUUCGUUAAAAUGUACUCGAUCUUGAAAAUAGAGUGUGAAUUUAACGAAAAUGAAGGUUUUAGAACAGUGAUUUGAUGAUUAAACAAGAUUUACUAGUAAAACUAAUUGAAUUGGAGUCGAUUGGAGUAUGGAUUAGUGAUUAAACUAAGUGAGUUCUGAUUAGCAUGAUUAUGUUCAAAAUUGUUGGAUCUAAGUGUAAAUUAUCGAAAAUUAUGAAUUUGGAAUAACGAUUUGAUGAACUACCAUGUUUUCAGAUUCAGAUCUAAUGGAUCUACACGUUAUGAAACAGAUCUAGAACUAAGAGUGUUCUUGUUAGGUUUAGCGGUGGAUCUAGAGUAGAAAAUUAAGUUGAAUUGAAGUAAUUAAGUGUCAAUUAUUUAUUAUGAUUAUGAUUAUUAUGGUGAUUACGGGGGGAAGGAAAAUGGGGACACGGAAAAGGGAAGGAAGUAAAAGAGGGAGAAAGAAGAGAGUCUCAUACGAACCUUGCGGUGUUAGUGUAGAGGAGACUAGUGUUCUCUGUGAAUCUUCUUCGCUUCUUGUUAAGGAGUAGC
rnacentral:lncRNA from 1 species